rnacentral:rRNA from 1 species
GAUGAACGCUGGCGGCGUGCCUAAUACAUGCAAGUCGAGCGAACAGACGAGGAGCUUGCUCCUCUGACGUUAGCGGCGGACGGGUGAGUAACACGUGGAUAACCUACCUAUAAGACUGGGAUAACUUCGGGAAACCGGAGCUAAUACCGGAUAAUAUAUUGAACCGCAUGGUUCAAUAGUGAAAGACGGUUUUGCUGUCACUUAUAGAUGGAUCCGCGCCGCAUUAGCUAGUUGGUAAGGUAACGGCUUACCAAGGCGACGAUGCGUAGCCGACCUGAGAGGGUGAUCGGCCACACUGGAACUGAGACACGGUCCAGACUCCUACGGGAGGCAGCAGUAGGGAAUCUUCCGCAAUGGGCGAAAGCCUGACGGAGCAACGCCGCGUGAGUGAUGAAGGUCUUCGGAUCGUAAAACUCUGUUAUUAGGGAAGAACAAAUGUGUAAGUAACGAUGCACGUCUGGACGGUACCUAAUCAGAAAGCCACGGCUAACUACGU